CACGGGAAAGAGAAAAUACUUACAUGAAUAUCUGAUGUUCGAUAUACCUACAUAAAGCGCCACAACCGAAAUGUUUGUGCAAUUGUACAAUGCCGAUUGGUUUUCGAUUUGGAACAAGGGCCAUCUUAUUGAACUCCCGUAGCCACUGAUCUAGGAUCUGCUCAUCCUCCCCAAUUCUAACCUUAACCAUUGGCGGGAAAAACGCAAAACUGAACUUAGAUCGACGUCUAAGGGCAACUUCAUCCUUUUUUAUGGUCUGAACCAACCCUUUCGUUUUUCUCAAAGGGGGAUAUCAAGUUUGUGUGUGAGAGCGCUAGCUGGCUGUCAGAAGUGACGGAGUAACGGAGGGGGGGAAUAGGGUGGACAGACACCGCUAGCCAACAGAGAGGGUGGCGUUUGAUUCGGUAAAAACCGAGAUUGAACGAACGGACUGUGGAACCGACGAAGCUGCCCCUUUAAAUCAGGAAUACAGCGCAUUCGGAGGAGGUGAAGGUUUACAGCUGUCCAUCUGACCUGAGGUCACAACCCCUCCUGUCCAUCUGACCUGAGGUCACAACCACUCCUGUCCAUCUGACCUGAGGUCACAACCCCUCCUGUCCAUCUGACCUGAGGUCACAACCCCUCCUGUCCAUCUGACCUGAGGUCACAACCCCUCCUGUCCAUCUGACCUGAGGUCACAACCACUCCUGUCCAUCUGACCUGAGGUCACAACCACUCCUGUCCAUCUGACCUGAGGUCACAACCACUCCUGUCCAUCUGACCUGAGGUCACAACCCCUCCUGUCCAUCUGACCUGAGGUCACAACCACUCCUGUCCAUCUGACCUGAGGUCACAACCACUCCUGUCCAUCUGACCUGAGGUCACAACCACUCCUGUCCAUCUGACCUGAGGUCACAACCCCUCCUGUCCAUCUGACCUGAGGUCACAACCACUCCUGUCCAUCUGACCUGAGGUUACAACCACUCCUGUCCAUCUGACCUGAGGUCACAACCACUCCUGUCCAUCAGACCUGAGGUCACAACCACUCCUGUCCAUCUGACCUGAGGUCACAACCACUCCUGUCCAUCUGACCUGAGGUCACAACCACUCCUGUCCAUCUGACCAACUCACCUGGUCAGCCCUUCCCCUGCACACACACACCUGCCCUACCUGGUACACCUGUCUACCAACCCAACACACACCUGCCCUGCCUGGUACACCUGUCUACCAACCCAACACACACCUGCCCUGCCUGGUACACCUGUCUACCAACCCAACACACACCUGUUCUACCUGGUACACCUGUCUACCACCCAACACACCUGCCCUGCCUGGUAAACCUGUCUACCAACCCAACACACCUGCCUGCCUGGUACACCUGACUAUCAACC